UUUUAAAACAGUUUUUACUCCCAACUUGUGCUAGUUGAUCUUAACUGUCAGCUCAACUCGAUUAAGACUCCUGGACAGGUAGAAGACCAUGGGACGUUCUGUUCAUCAGUGGAUGGAUGCACUGGAAAGAAGUUUCCGGAACUGAAUCCAACAAGUUUGGAGCAUAUUUUUGGUGACAACUAUCAGACACAUAGAAAAUGCCACAACAACUAAAUCAAGUGUGAAGAACAUUCAUCGGAUGUGGGUUUUCAGUACUAAAAGUUAAAGCUAAUCACAAUCUCGGCUUCCAGAAGACAGAGGAGCUAAACCAGCCCCAGAUCCACCUCCUGUCUGACAGAAUGAAACCAGAACUGAUUCAUCUCAACUUGAACCAAAGAGUACACAAGUGUCCAAGAAGUUAACCAUUCUAUAACUCUAGCAAUGAUCAAAAUGCUUUCAAAAUGAAGCAUUCCUCUUUUAUAUAAAAUAUUCUCUAAAUGUUUCCAUAUAGCUAAGUUUUAGAUCUUCCAGAGACCCCUUAAUGCGAAGCAAAGUAAAUACUGAUAUUUUGCAAACAAAGAAACUGAAGCUCAGGGCAUUGAAGGGACCAAGUUAUGUGGGCUGCAAGAGAUGAAUCCAAAAGUAGAAAUCUGGUUUUCUAAUUCAUUAUCCAGUACUAUUUUUCUUUCUGCUCUGUUUUCCUUUUUAAUUGGGUAUUUGUAGUAACUGAGCUCUCUCUUAGUGCAUGCAGAAUGAUUUUAAAAGUUUAAUUCUACGGCGCUGUGUGGAAUAUUCUGGAAAGAUCUCAAAAGGGUCUGGGCCAAUGCCAGCCUCAAAGCUCUGCUCUGCAUCCUACUUUCCCUUUGAAGGCAUUUCACAUUAAAAGAAGCCUCAGACACCAUUUCUUUCUGUCCCACUGACAACCAAAUCCUUUCAAUGAAAAUAUCAAUUGGGUUUAACUGCAGAUUAUUUUUUAUCUAAUUUUGAAAGUCAUAUAAACUUAGCCUGAACAAAUAUGUUCUGCUGCAUGUUCUUCCUGAAUUGCAGUCAGAGUUUUUCAGUAAUUAAGCAUUUCUCCUAGCAUGUUGUACACCAAAUAAUGUUGAAUGCCAAGGCAAGAAAAGCAUUAGUGAAAAUAAAGAAUAAAAUGCAGCCAAAACCAAGCAGUAAAAAUGUUCUGCCUUAUUUAACAGAGAGGUAAUGUAAAAGCAAGCUAUUCAAUGAGAUUAAACUAGGUUCAAUGUCGUUGAUAUGAAUACAUCCACUAAAAUCUUUAGGAAAACAAACCUCACAUUUCAAGUAAUUUUUAAAAAUCACACAGCCGUAUGUGUUAAAGAUGGCUCCUGGAAAGUUUAAGGACUUUAAUGAUAAUUUUUUUUAUUUUUUGCCCAGGUGGGGCUGAAUUUCGGGAUCCUCCUGCCUCUGCUUCCCAGAGUGCUGCAAUUCCAGGUGUGCAUCACCACGCUGGCCUCCUAUAACAUUCUUAAACUGGAGAAAUUACCAGCCUUAGAGUGCAAAAGUAAUCAUCACCAGAAAAUUCUACCAAUACCUUUCAUCAAAAAAAAAGCACUGAGUCCUUUAGAUUCCACCAAAGUUCUUUACAAAGAAUUCUCUUUUUUUCCUUAUAAACAUUCAAUAAAUCAA